GUGCUCACUUUGGCAGGAUACAUUCUGAAUCUGGAAUGAUACCGAGAAGAUUAGGAUGGCCCUUGAGCAAGGAUGGCAAGCAAAGUCAUGAAGUGUUACAUAUUUCA